GACGAACGCUGGCGGCGUGCUUAACACAUGCAAGUCGAACGGAAAGGCCCUGCUUGCAGGGUACUCGAGUGGCGAACGGGUGAGUAACACGUGGGUGAUCUGCCCUGCACUUCGGGAUAAGCCUGGGAAACUGGGUCUAAUACCGGAUAGGAGCCAUUUUUAGUGUGAUGGUUGGAAAGUUUUUUCGGUGUAGGAUGAGCUCGCGGCCUAUCAGCUUGUUGGUGGGGUAAUGGCCUACCAAGGCGGCGACGGGUAGCCGGCCUGAGAGGGUGGACGGCCACAUUGGGACUGAGAUACGGCCCAGACUCCUACGGGAGGCAGCAGUGGGGAAUAGUGCACAAUGGGCGCAAGCCUGAUGCAGCGACGCCGCGCGGGGGAUGACGGCCUUCGGGUUGUAAACUCCUUUCGCUAGGGACGAAGCUUUUUGUGACGGUACCUAGAUAAGAAGCACCGGCUAACUACGUG
rnacentral:rRNA from 1 species